rnacentral:rRNA from 1 species
AACAGGAUUAGAUACCCUGGUAGUCCACGCCGUAAACGAUGUCUACUAGUCGUUGGGUCCCUUGAGGACUUAGUGACGCAGCUAACGCAAUAAGUAGACCGCCUGGGGAGUACGGCCGCAAGGUUAAAACUCAAAUGAAUUGACGGAGGCCCGCACAAGCGGUGGAGCAUGUGGUUUAAUUCGAUGCAACGCGAAGAACCUUACCUGGUCUUGACAUAUCUAGAAUCCUGCAGAGAUGCGGGAGUGCCUUCGGGAAUUAGAAUACAGGUGCUGCAUGGCUGUCGUCAGCUCGUGUCGUGAGAUGUUGGGUUAAGUCCCGCAACGAGCGCAACCCUUGUCCUUAGUUACCAGCGGGUUAAGCCGGGAACUCUAAGGAUACUGCCAGUGACAAACUGGAGGAAGGCGGGGACGACGUCAAGUCAUCAUGGCCCUUACGACCAGGGCUACACACGUGCUACAAUGGUAGGUACAGAGGGCAGCUACACAGCGGUGUGAUGCGAAUCUCAAAGAGCCUAUCGUAGUCCAGAUUGGAGUCUGCAACUCGACUCCAUGAAGUAGGAAUCGCUAGUAAUCGCGGAUCAGAAUGCCGCGGUGAAUACGUUCCCGGGCCUUGCACACACCGCCCGUCACACCAUGGGAGUUGAUUGCACCAGAAGUGGAUAGCUUAACCUUCGGGGGAGCGUUCACCACGGUGUGGUUGAUGACUGGGGUGAAGUCGUAACAAGGUAACC